UACGGAGGGUGCAAGCGUUAAUCGGAAUUACUGGGCGUAAAGAGUGCGUAGGUGGUUAAUUAAGUUAUCUGUGAAAUCCCUGGGCUCAACCUGGGCAGGUCAGAUAAUACUGAUUAACUCGAGUAUAGGAGAGGGUAGUGGAAUUUCCGGUGUAGCGGUGAAAUGCGUAGAUAUCUGGAGGAAUACCGGUGGCGAAGGCGGCAUCCUGGACCGGCAUUGACGCUGAUGAGCGAAAGCUAGGGGAGCAAACGGG
rnacentral:rRNA from 1 species